rnacentral:misc_RNA from 1 species
CAUAAAAGAGAUUUCAAUAUUUGAGUCUUUUAGGAGAUUUCAGCGCGUGAUUUACAUUAACUUCCUUGUGUUGGCAACCAGGCAUCAUCAUCAUCAUCAUCAACAUUGACAAUGGUGUAAACUAAUUUAUUUGCUGAAGUUAUAGAAUCAUCAUCUCUCUUGUUUAAUCACUAACUCUCCGUAAAAUACCAGAAUGGAGGAGUUUCCAGAUGAGCUUCCGUCCCUUUAUGAUUCCGAUAAUGAAACAUCUUCAACUAAACAUAAAAUGAAAAAAGAGAAAAGAGAAGCUUAUUGGAUAAAGACAAAAGAGAGCAAACGACAGACACGUAAAAUUAAAAAACAAGAAAAAAAACAAAGGGCCAAAAACAGAAUUCCAGAUACACAUUCCAAAGAAAAUGGUAUGUUAAAUAAAAGAGAUCAUAAACGCUUUCUACACGAGAAGGGCCUGCAAGCACUGAAGUCAGGGUUAAAGAUCUGCAUUGACUUAAGUUUUGAAGAGAAAAUGUCUGAAAAGGAAAUUUCAAGGUUAGCACAGCAAUUGGGAAGGAUCUAUGGCUAUAACAAGAAGACAGAGAAGCCAUUGCAUAUAUUUUUGACAAGCAUUGACCAAAGUGGUUUCUUCUUUAAAGAAUGUACCCGCAUCAACCAAGGAUUUCAGAAUUAUUUGUGGGAUGUCUGCGAUGAAUCAUACACAGAACUGUUUCCAAAAGAAGACAUAGUUUAUCUCUCACCAGAUUCAGAGAACGUCUUAUUCACAAUAGACCCCGAGAAAGUGUACAUCAUUGGUGGCCUUGUCGAUGAAAGUAUACAGAAGAAAAUGACGUACUACAAAGCUCUACAGAGUGGAAUACAAACUGCCCGUCUCCCUAUUGAUGUAUUUAUGAUGAAUGGUGACAGGAAGGGCAACUACUGUCGAAUCUUAACGGUCAAUCAAGUACUUGCUGUGAUUUCUGAAUUUCUGAGAACUGAAGAUUGGAGACAGGCUCUAUCUAGCGAGGUCCCUAAAAGGAAAGGUCUAGUGUUGAAACCCCUUGAAAAUGUGAGCUCCUGAGUACAGUGCAACCGAGUACAGUGAAGUAAAACAAGAACAUGGACAUUAGCAGAAAGAAGUUUUGGUUUAUUCUUCAUUCUCUUUCAUUGACAUCAUCAUCAUCAUCAUCAUCAUCAUUUUCAACAUGUCUCUAUGUGUGCUGCAACAGCAGUAGCAUCACCAACAACUUCUGUGAAACUUAUUGAUAAACCAAACACCCAAACACAUGCACACACGCACACGUUUGUAUGUGUCUGGUGUUUCAGUUUGUGAUAAGACAUCGGCAGGUCACACUAGGUGAGAGCUAUACCAAGAGUUAAAUGGCUGACUCACCCAUGAAGCAAAAGUACUGCUCUAUCACAUAGCUGUAAAGUAUGUGGGUUGACUGAUAUAAAUCGUCCCUCAGUUUCAUCAAUGACAAACCUAGCACAAGACUAAGCAGAUACAUUAUUAAAAGCCUUCCAGCUAUGACCAUCACUUAUAUUUCAGCUACAAUGUACAUAGGAUUACAUUAUGAAAUGUACUUUUCUGCUUUUAAGACUACAAGGUGUCAUUUGAAGGAAAGAUUUGGUUGCUCUUUCUAGUUGAGCAAGUGACUGCACAGAUCAAUGGCCCCUCACCUUUUCCAUGCUGCACACUCCUAAGAAAUGUUUGAUUAAUUUUCAAUAACUAAUUUAUUUUUUAAAAAUUCAACCACAUCCAGUCACACGUAUCAAAGAAUUGGACUCCAUAUAAAAAAGAUUUUAACUCAGUUAAUUAAAUCUAAAUUGGAUAAUUAGGUCAAAACUGUAAACAUUGAAACUAAUUACAAUAGGGAAUAUAAAAUAAUUUAACGACUUGAUUCUGCUUCUCAUUUAAGACUUUAUUAAAAUGUGGAAGAUGGCAGGAAGAAUCUGUUUAAUCUCACUUCAAUCAGAUGACUACCACUGCCAUCUGCAAGAAAGACCUUUACAUCCUGCUAGCUCUUAUCUGGAAUGUCCCUUCUUUGACACCUGUCAGUACAAAGAUUCCAUGUUGGACAACACUCCUGCACACUAGCCAACUCUUCUAUCUGCAACAUGAGCAAGGAUCUGUGUGCAUAUGUGGUCAACUUGUUAUGGUGUUCCGAGUGCAGUAUUUAUUAUAUCAGUUGUAUGAUGUGGUUGAAGAAACCCUUGACAACACAUGCAUCUUCCUUUUGCAAACAUUCUGAAAUGCAGUAACACCACCACCACCAGUGACAAAUAAUUCCUUAUUGGUUGCAGAGAGAAAUGUUGGACUUCUCUGGAUCAAGGACUCCUUUAUAAUCCACUAACUUAACUCGAAGAUCAACAAUUUGUUGAUGUUGAGUUGGUGGCUUUUUUAAGCUGCUCACCAUCAUCAAAUUCUCUGCUGCCAUGACCAAUAUAAUCACCACUACGACAGUGACUAUUGCCAUCACCUUCCAACACCUUACCACUGACUAUUACUUCUUCCAUUACAACUAUUAGUGUCAAUGUAGGUAGCUGUCUUCACCAAGACUGCUGCCAGCCAAUAGCUAGCCAUCCGUUGCCAUUCUCACAAUGAUCUCUGUGACCACUGCCAAUACCAUUUUGGAGAAUGGCUUCCACUACAAUAAUCCCUCAUUGCUGUCAUCACCACUUAAACAGACAUUGCAGAGUCACUGUCUACAUAACAAUCAACAUAGCUGGAUUUGUAGGGACUCACAUUGUUUCACUCUGUUUAUUUCUGAUGAUGAACCUUUGUGCCUGAAAUAUAAAGGUUAUUAAACUUUCCUCUUUUACAUUGUAAGAAGCUUCCCAUCUUCAUUAUUUUCUUAUUUUAUCCUAAAAAAUAAAUAGGAAAGAACAUUGAUCCAAGGUAUUUGUUCCUAAAAGAAAGACAGAAAAAUCCCUUAUCAUCUAUGUAUUUCUUCUUCAGACUUUUAGUGACCAGGGAAACCAUAUUUGGUUGCUGUACAUAAAUACAGUUAUGCUGUGGCCACUUCAACCGAUUAGAGCUGGCUGCAGAAGGAUAAAUGUGGCAGCUUCCGCCCAGCAGUGUUGCGUGCCAUUUUCAGUUUAGUCAGUAGAAGGGCGCAGGAUGACCAACACAGAACUAGUUUCCUAGUUUCUCACUUCAACUUAGUGUCGCAGACACCUUUACAGUCCAGUUCCUCCAACGCAAUUGCUACCAUGAAUAAUUCUUUCUCAUCUCAGCUAGCACAGACCAACUUACCACUGCUAUCUUAUCCCUGCUUAUGACUUCUCAUUUCAUACCUAGUAAAUUAUUUCGGCUUCCCUGACUCACACACAUAUACAUACAUACGUAUCCUAUACAUAUGUCUACUACCAGCACAUACAUAUCCUACAUACACAUACAGGCCUCAACUCUCACUACUUGUCUGCUGUUGGUCACUUCUCAUUGUUACUACUUGCCAGCACUCAUUGGAUUAAAUAAAUUUUAAUGUUAUAUA